UGGCUUCAGUUCCAUCUGAGAAAUCGGAGCAGUGUUUGACUACAGUUCCAUCUGAGGAAACUAAAAAAUGUUUGAAUCCAAUCCCAUAUGAGGAAUCAAAACAGAGUUUGACUCCAUUUCCAUUUAAGGAGAUGAAACCGAGUUUGACUUCAAUUCUAUCAGAGGAAACUAAAAAACUUUUGAAUUCAGUUCCAUCUGAGGAAUCUGAGGAAACCCAAAAGCAUCCAAUUUUCUCAUGGGUCACAAACCAGCAAAUGCUCCAGUGCGGGUUGCCUAAUUUUCAAAACAACUGCUACGUAAAUGCGAGUCUACAGUGUCUGUUUACAGCCGGGACUUUCUGUAGAGAUCUCGCCAGUCUGCUGGAAAAUUCUAGCCCCAACUUAGGGGACACAUUUCUAAGAUGUUUUUUGGAGUUGUCAAAGAUGAGAUGCAGCUCUGAAGUUCAACAUGACAUUGACACAAAUUCUCUCCUCAUGACCCUGAUUGCAUCAGCUGCAAAGGUCAACCAAGAAUUCGCCAUCGGCCAACAGAACGAUGCCCAUGAAUUCCUCUGUUACUGUCUUACCCAACUAGAGCAAUCCGUGAAAAAACUGGGUUGCCAGAAGUUUGUGGGACCUAAAUGCCCAGUGAAGUCCAAUUUCAAGUUCAAGAUGAGGAAUGUCAUAACAUGCUCUAGCUGUGGAUCCCGGCAGAACAAAGUGGAGAUGUUUAACCAUAUCUCUGUCCCCCUGACACAUGACAAUGUGGCUCAGUGCCUCAACCACAUAUUUAAUAAUGUGACAAUGUUGAACAGAAAGUGUACGGAAUGUGGAGGAAAAUCUGCCAGCUCCUUGUGGAGGAUCCUCAGGCUGCCCAGGUUUCUGUUUCUGCAACUAAACAGAUUUGAAGUGGAGAACCAUUACAAAAUCAUCAAGAUAACUACUCAAGUGUACAUCAAUCCUGAGCUGCAAAUAAAUUGUUUUCCUCAGCAAAACAUGCCCAGAAUAGAGAACAACAAUGCUAAGGCCAGCAUGACAGAAAAAAAUAAACAGAGGAGAAAUAGUCAGUGUAGCUCAUCCUAUCGGCUGAUCAGCUGCCUGAGCCAUUGUGGGGUAUCACCUUUAUCUGUUCCCAUUGCUGUGCAUAUCUCUUUCCCAGGACAUUAUGUGGCUGAUUGUUCCACUCAAAAUCCCCAUCAGUGGAUGACCUGUAAUGAUAGCUUCGUCUCACUGAGCGAAAAGAUGGACUUAUUAAAGAAGAGGUCGACUAAUGCCUACGUGCUCCUCUACGAGAGAGUGGACACAUGCUAAAGGUCCCACUCUUCUCUAGCAGGAUGUCAAUUGCAGCUUGGGGUGUGCCAAAUGAUGAGCCAAGCAGCAUCGAGAAUGACGAAGAUGGAAAGCAGGGGGUGAUGCAGAUAAGAAUAAAACACUCCAGAGCAUUUUGAAGAAAGGAAAGGAGAAAAUAUUCAUCGCUAUUACAGAAUGGAGAGAAAGAUGAAAAAAGCACUGCAGAGAGUCAAGUCAAGUCAAGUCAAGUCAAGUCAAGUCAAGUCAAGUCAAGUCAAGUUUAUUUC